CAGUAGCCGCGGUAAUACGUAGGGUGCAAGCGUUAAUCGGAAUUACUGGGCGUAAAGCGUGCGCAGGCGGUUAUAUAAGACAGAUGUGAAAUCCCCGGGCUCAACCUGGGAACUGCAUUUGUGACUGUAUAGCUAGAGUACGGCAGAGGGGGAUGGAAUUCCGCGUGUAGCAGUGAAAUGCGUAGAUAUGCGGAGGAACACCGAUGGCGAAGGCAAUCCCCUGGGCCUGUACUGACGCUCAUGCACGAAAGCGUGGGGAGCAAACAGGAUUAGAUACCCCAGUAGCCCUGUCUCUUAUACA
rnacentral:rRNA from 1 species